AACGAACGCUGGCGGCAUGCCUAACACAUGCAAGUCGAACGAGACCUUCGGGUCUAGUGGCGCACGGGUGCGUAACGCGUGGGAACCUGCCCUUAGGUUCGGAAUAACUCCUCGAAAGGGGUGCUAAUACCGGAUAAUGUCUCCGGACAAAAGAUUUAUCGCCUUUGGAUGGGCCCGCGUUGGAUUAGCUAGUUGGUAGGGUAAAAGCCUACCAAGGCGACGAUCCAUAGCUGGGCUGAGAGGAUGAUCAGCCACACUGGGACUGAGACACGGCCCAGACUCCUACGGGAAGCAGCAGUGGGGAAUAUUGGACAAUGGGCGAAAGCCUGAUCCAGCAAUGCCGCGUGAGUGAUGAAGGCCUUAGGGUUGUAAAGCUCUUUUACCCGGGAUGAUAAUGACAGUACCGGGAGAAUAAGCUCCGGCUAACUCCGUG
rnacentral:rRNA from 1 species